AUAUGCACCGUGAUGGGUUGCUGAGUCGGUCAACUGAAUAAAGCUUGGAUGCACGCAAGAUAUGAGUAAGUUACAUACGCUUUGUAUAAAUUUUCCUUUACCCAGUUUGCUCCAUGAUUUGAAUGACACAGAGUUUCUCUUCAUAUUUCCAUGCAGUGCUGGCUGUGCGGUGCCUCAUUCUCAGUCUGAAUUUCGUGGGAGUGCCCCGCUGAUGAUACAAAAAGAUUUCCAAAGAAACAUUCGAUUUUUAGUCACUAGCUUUUAUUUCCAGUUGCAAUUUGUGUUCCAAUAAUGUUUUAACGCUUUCUAUUCUACGGUGUUGUGAUGAUCUUCAUCUCCAUCACCCAAUUUUAUAUGUACCGUACAACAUUACUGCUCUCAGUUACUUUUGACCAUCAAAUCAGUCUACCAUGUAUUCUCCUUGCCCCUCUCGCAAAACAAAAAUGUGUUCUGCUUGCCAAAAGAGAGAAAGAGAGAGCAAGAGAGAGCAAGAGAGAGGAUAGAUAGCAGCCGCCAUUAGUGUGGGGAGGCAGCAAUAGCAUCUCUGUCUGUCUCCAAGAAGAGUUGACCUGAUGCCUGAAACCUGAAGCUACAGGCAAGUGUUGAGAGUUGAGAAAACAGAGCAAAAGCAGAGUAAAGCAGGCUAUCAUCUGUAUGUAUCGAGUUAUCGCCAUGGAGACCAGAAUCCACAAAUUAAACUAAUGGGCGUCUCACCUGUAUGUAUGUUUAUAUCAUCAUGAUUGCCUUGCCUGUUAUCAUCUUCGAUUCCUUCUUCUUAUGGAGUACUAUCUUUUCCUUCCCCUCUUUUUUGCGAAUGGAGUGGAUUCAGAAUAGUGCAUUUCCUCCACUUGUGCUUGUUAGCAGAAAGUAUUCAAAAUAUUCAUAGGAUUAUAGGAUUAUAUGACAUUUACUUGUUCAUAUUUUCAGGGUCAAUUUCGUGGAAGAUCUGAGGUAACCGACCAAAGGGAGAAGUACUUGCAAAGAUUGCAACAAGUACAGCAGCAGCAGGGCAACCUUCUUAACGCUUCUCAUAUAACGGGCAUCAAUCAGAAGCAAUUUCCAACCCAGCAACCCAAUUCCCUCUUACAGCAG
rnacentral:lncRNA from 1 species